rnacentral:rRNA from 1 species
AUUGAACGCUGGCGGCGGGCCUAACACAUGCAAGUCGAACGAGUGGCGGACUGGUGAGUAAUUUCUUGACACUGCCCGAUGGAGGGGGAUAACUACUGGAAACGGUAGCUAAUACCUCAUACCAUCGCAUUUGCCCGUCUGGGAUUGGCGAGUAGGUGGGGUAAUGGCUCACCUAGGCGACGAUCCCUAGCUGGGCUGAGAGGGUGACCGGCCACACUGGAACUGAGACACGGCCCAGACUCCUACGGGAGGCAGCAGUGGGGAAUAUUGCACAAUGGGCGCAAGCCUGAUGGAGCCAUGCCGCGUGUAUGAAGAAGGCCUUCGGGUUGUAAAGGACUGUCAGCGAGGAGGCGUUACUCGAAGAAGAAGCAACGGCUAACUCCGUGCCAGCAGCCGCGGUAAUAC